UGAAUAAAGCGCGGAGCACAGUACGUGCUCGA
rnacentral:sRNA from 1 species